rnacentral:lncRNA from 1 species
CUUUAUACCUACAGAUGACUGAAUCAUUGUGGUUUAUACGACUUCCCUUGAACUUGCCUCUGUUUUGGAGGACAUUGCUUGGAAACUGACAGUGACAGUUCAAAUCAUCUGGCUUUAUUUUUUUCCUCCCUGCAUCUCACAAAGUGAGAGAGUGGCCAACUUCAUCAAAUUAGUUGCUGUGAAUUAUAUUCUUAGCUCUGUCCUGAUUCUCUGAAAUACCAAUGUUUCAAACACUAGAUAUCUACUAGAAGAGGACAGAGUUCAAGAAAGUAAGUAUUUAUUUAUAAGUGAGGCACUACAGCAUUAACUGUUGUGUAUCAAAACUUUAGAGUGAAAUCCAAAAGUUUUGGGUAAUUUCUUGUGCUUCCCCUACAGGCCUGGGCAAACAGACACAUUACAUGGAACCUCAAAUCCUCCAGGCUGUGCAGAAAUCUGCUCAGGGUAUGUAGAGAAGUCUUAAUAAUACAUAUUAAGCCCACAUAUUUUGAGGUGCUCAAUGCACGUCUGCUAAAACUUGCUUCUGUCUUUUCAAGGUCUGCCUCUUGAUCCCCUUCCGCCAGCAGCAGAAACUUGAAACCCUCCUCUGAUGUAAUGGAGCAGGGUUCAUGCUUUUCUUCUGAAAGUUGUUGACUGGACGAGGACCUUUUUUUUUUACACAACAGCCUGGGUAUUACAGCAGUUGCAAAGGAAGCACUCAAUUAAUUUUGCUCUCAGCCUGAAAAUUCAGGUGCACAUCUGCCACCUCUGAGAGAAACGUGAGCCCCCAGCCACAUGUUGGUGGAGGAUGAAGGCACACAAAGUGCUCACCAAGCUUCCUGUUGGAGCCAGAACAUGCAAUUUCACAAACACUAAGCAAGCAAUUCAUCAAGAGAACAACAAAGGCUGGAACUGAAAGAUAAAACAUCCAGUAUUAUCAGACCUUUGAGUAAACAAGAAACCCCCCAGAAUCCCUGAAGAACAACAAAUUUUGAAAGCUUUCUACGUGACUUCGGACUCUUGAGCUUGGAUUACUUGUGAAAAUCUAAUACUACUUGGAAGAAAAAAAAAAAAGUGGCAGUUCCAGCUACUAAAUAGAUUGUUUUGGGAAAACAAAACAAAACAAACAAACAAAAAAACCACAAAUAAACAAAAAAUAAAAGUAAGAGUUAAGGAGAUA